rnacentral:rRNA from 1 species
CCAGACUCCUACGGGAGGCAGCAGUGGGGAAUAUUGGGCAAUGGGCGCAAGUCUGACCCAGCAACGCCGCGUGAAGGAAGAAGGCUUUCGGGUUGUAAACUUCUUUUAAGGGGGAAGAGCAGAAGACGGUACCCCUUGAAUAAGCCACGGCUAACUACGUGCCAGCAGCCGCGGUAAUACGUAGGUGGCAAGCGUUAUCCGGAUUUACUGGGCGUAAAGCGCUCGUAGGCGGUAUGGCAAGUCAAGGGUGAAAUCCCGGCGCUCAACGUGGGAACUGCCUUUGAAACUGGCAAACUGGAGUGUGUGAGAGGAUAGUGGAAUUCCAGGUGUAGGAGUGAAAUCCGUAGAUAUCUGGAGGAACAUCAGUGGCGAAGGCGACUAUCUGGCACAUAACUGACGCUGAGGAGCGAAAGCGUGGGUAGCAAACAGGAUUAGAUACCCCAGUA